AGGUUGUGGGUUGUCUGAAUUUAGAGUUGAUGAGUUAGUUUUCUGUAUUUGGAGUUAAUAGGCUAGUUUGCUGUAUGAAUAAAGUUAAGUGUUGCGGUAGUUGUGAGGCGACUUGGAGGCGGGGAGAGCUUGUGGUCGGUGGGGGUGCCUGCGCCCUGGAGCCCUCGAGGGGGGGACAGCUUGUGACUACGAGAUAACGAUCUUGUUACCAUGCGAACACUGCCUGACUAAGAUUCCCGCCUUAGCUAGCUUAAUGUCUGUUAAAGUGAUUAGCCAAUCAGCAUGAAACAUGUGUGCCUUAGACUAUAUAAAUGUAUGUUUGCCAUACAAUAAAGCGGACACCUUGCUUGCAUCAAGUUGCGUCCCCGUCUCUCAGUCGCGGCAAAUUGGUGACCUCCGACGUGAUCGUCAGCGACGAAACCGCCGAGGAUUGAAAAACCGCCUACCUGGUGGCAUGUCGCGAGUCCCGCAGAACGUGGAAUGAGCUGCUGAAAGGAAGCAGGAUAAGCCGGCCGGCCAAACAAUCCCUCCGUCUGGAACGAGAGGUGAGCUGCGGGAAACUAGCAAAAUGGGGAAUCAGGAGUCUUCCCCUGAGAGAGACGUUUAUGAGCUUAUGAAAGCUCUACUUAAGAAGCAUGGGAAAAAGACUCUUUCGGAACAAGAUCUUAAGUUAAUCCUUAAAUGGGUGCAGGUUAAGAUCCCCGCGGUGACUGCUUCUUCUAUUUUUACGCGUGAACUUUGGGACGAUGUGGGGGUAAAGUUAUGGGACGCAGCCACCUCAGGAGAUGAGGAAGCGCAGUAUAUGCUCCCCAGUUGGAGAAAAAUCUUUGAAACCAUAAAGGCACAAGAGCAAAAUCAGCGAGGCUCCGAGGAGGGAGCUCAGUCACCUCCCCCCUGCCCUUCUAAAAUCGCUGGUGGGGCGGAACCCUCUGCGCCACCGUUAGCUUGUGCUGCUGGAUAUCCCCCGGAGGGUGAUCCCUUUGACCCGGGUCCGAUUUACCCUGAAAAGGAACCUGAUCUUUUUCCCCCUGAUCCUCAUGAGGUUUGGGGAAAGAUUAAGCGCCAAGCGAUAAACGAGGGGGAGUUGGAAAUAGCCAGAACUAUAGUAGCCCCCGUUAUAUACCAAGGACGGGGGAGGGCUCAAGCUCAGUGGGAAGCUCUUUCUUUUUCGGUAAUUAAGGAGUUGCGCCGUACAGUUACCGAGCAUGGGUUGUCUUCCCCUUAUUUUGCAAGCCUUUUAUCUUCUGUAUUCGAUACAUAUGUCAUGACCCCACAUGAUUUAAAAUCUCUCGCGCGAUUGUUAUUAACCCCAACACAAUAUACAAUGUGGGAGUCUCAAUGGAGAACGGGAUUGCAGACAGUUUUGCUGGGUUAUGCAGGACAUGCUAAUGCCGCCUUAGCUGCAUUGACUAUAGAGCACCUCACAGGAACAGGGCAGUUUUCGGAUCCCGCGGCCCAAGCUAGGGACAUUCCUCGGGAGGCUUUGGAAGCAGGCAGAGAAGAAGCGAAAAGGGCCUUGUUGAGAGUCCCUGACUCUGGCAGACCCCAAAAAGCAUUCACUAGUAUCACUCAGGAACCCCGUGAGCCGUAUAUGCAGUUUAUGGAUAGAUUAAAACAAGCCUUAGAGCGGCAAGUUGAUAACGUACAGGCUCGGGAGAUUUUACUCCUUAAACUGGCUGUGGAAAACGCUAACGCCGAUUGUAAAAAGCUCUUGAAGUCUCUCCCAAAUCAAAACCCUACCUUAAUUGAAAUGGUGGAAGCCUGUAAUAGAAUUGGCACUAUGGAUCAUAAAUAUGAGGCCAUGGCUGCUGCUUUUGCGGCCAUGCACAGCCCGAUGGGCGCCGACCCACAGCGAAACUGCUAUGGGUGUGGAAAACCGGGACACCUUAAAAAAGAUUGCUUUAGUGCCAAUGCUGGGAAACGACCCCAAAUACCUGGAGUUUGUCCCAAGUGCCAAAAAGGGCGCCACUAUGCUAACCAGUGUCGAUCUAAAUACGACUCUCAAGGGCGCCCCAUACAGGGAAACCGAUCGCAGAGCGCGGGACCGCGGCGCGCACAGACACAAGUUCCGCGACCGGCGCCCCCACAAACGCCGGGGGGGGAAACAGGAGUGUUUCCAGUCUCCGCCCAGCAACAGCAGGGAGCACCGGCCUGGACCUGGCAACCGCUCACACAGUAACACUACUUGACUCCUCUGUUCACUUACUGCCUACCAAAGUUGCAGGUCCUUUGCCCCCCCGAACGCAAGCUUUAUUAUUGGGAAGAUCAUCCACCACCCUGUCAGGACUUUUUGUAUUGCCUGGAGUGAUUGAUCCUGACAGUAAUUCCGAAAUCAAAAUUAUGGCUUGGACCCCAUUUCCUCCUUGUACAGUGCCAGAGGGAAGUCGUAUCGCUCAAUUGAUACUGAUCCCUAAGGAAGACUAUGUCCCAAUCCCUGACCAAUUGCUCCCACAGAGACAGGGAAGUUUUGGAUCUACGGGAGAAUCACUAAUUUUAUGGGUUCAAGCCAUCUCACAAAAACGUCCUAUAUGUCAAUGCACCCUCAUUCGCAGAGGUCAGCAAGUUAUGUUAAGUGGAAUUAUUGAUACAGGUGCAGAUGUUACCGUUAUUUCUCAAGCGAAGUGGCCUUCUAGGUGGCCUUUAGCUGAUAUCUCUCAGACGUUAGCAGGAAUUGGGGGGUAUGGAGCUAGCCGCCAAAGCGCAGAAAUGAUACAAGUUCAAAAUUCAGAAGGACAAGUUGCCUCAGUCAAACCGUUUAUCUUACCAGUACCUAUGGUCUUGUGGGGGCGUGAUGUGUUAUCCCAGUGGGGGAUGUCUAUCCAGACACAUUUUUAGGUGGGGCCAUUGAGGGGCGUGAAACCCUAAAGUUAACUUGGAAAACAGAUACUCCUAUUUGGAUUGAUCAAUGGUCCCUGUCGCUGGAAAAACUUCACGCCCUCCAAGAAAUAGUUAAUGAACAACUAUCUAUGGGACAUAUUGUACCCUCUAUGAGUCCUUGGAACUCGCCUAUUUUUGUUAUUAAAAAACUGACUGGCAAGUGGCGCUUGCUCCAUGACCUCAGAAAAAUUAAUGAUGCUAUGGAAGACAUGGGGGCCCUGCAACCUGGGCUUCCAUCACCCGCCAUGAUCCCUAGAGAUUGGCAUUUAACCAUCAUAGACCUCAAAGAUUGUUUUUUCAACAUUCCAUUGCAUCCAGAUGAUGCUCCUAAAUUUGCCUUUUCUGUACCAAGCGUCAACAUGCAAGCUCCUUUGCAAAGAUACCAGUGGGUUGUGCUACCACAGGGAAUGAAAAAUAGCCCUACAAUAUGCCAAUGGUAUGUAGCAAAAAUACUUAGUCCUGUCAGAACUGUAGUACCUGCUGCAUUGUUAUAUCAUUAUAUGGAUGACAUUCUAGUGGCAGCACAGCACCAUGAAGUCAUGGAGGAAGCUGUAGCCCUUGUCGUGGCUGCUGUAAAAUCAGCAGACCUCUGUAUUGCACCAGAAAAAAUUCAAAAAAUACCACCUUGGAAAUACUUAGGAUGGCGUAUAAGGGCUCAGACUAUUGCUCCGCAACCUUUACAAAUACAGGCGAAUGUAAAGAAUUUACAUGACAUGCAAAAACUGCUGGGUACAAUCAAUUGGGUCAGACCAUUGUUAGGAAUCACUAAUGCGGAUCUUCGUCCCUUAUUCGAAAUGCUUAAAGGAAGCUCGGACUUAAACGCUCCGCGAACUCUCAGUCCUGAAGCCAUAACUUCCUUGCAUAAAGCUGCGGCAGCGAUUACCUCCAGACAAGCGCAUCGAUGGGAACCAGAAUUGCCUUUUCAAUUAAUCAUCCUUAAUCCUGCUAGACAGCCUCAUGCACUUAUUUUCCAAUGGGACUGCCAGAAAACUGACCCUUUACUGAUCAUUGAAUGGAUUUUUUUACCUAACCAAGCCACAAAGACGAUUUCUACCCAACAUGAGAUGUUUGCAUCUUUAAUCAUCAGGGCUCGACAGCGAUUACUUACCCUGGCAGGCACGGACUUCGCCCUCAUAUGUAUGCCGACAGCAAUCCUCCAGUAGUUCGUCAUUUUAGCACAAACACCCUUUUUGAACCCAAGAUUAAGCCGCCAGUAUUGAUCCGGGACCCCGAAACAGGUAAGAUAAUGGGACCCUAUCCCCUUGUCACGUGGGGAAGAGGCUAUGCUUGUGUUUCCACAGAAAGAGGUCCCCGCUGGAUCCCAGCUAAAAAUGUGAGACCUUUUCGAGAGACACUGCAGCAGCCUCCUGAAGACAUUCCUGGUCCUGAUCCUGCGACUGACAUAGAAGACACUACCGAUCAAUAAUUGAAUGAACUCUGUUCCAGAGGUUAACAAAUGGGAGCUUAAGUGUCCCCAAUGUGAAAAAUGUAAUCCGUGGAUUUGUAGAAUUUGUGCUAAUUGUGGAAAAUCACAGUGGCUAAAUCGCCAUACAGUAGGACACUGGUGUGAUAACUGCCUAACAAUUGAGUGGAAUACAGUUCAGGUGUUAUUGAUAACAGGUAGAGAGACAGAAUAUUCUCCCCGGUAUGAUUAUUAUUCUGACGAUUGGGGGAAAAUUGUAGCACAAAGGUCUGUGGACAUUUUAUAUUCUAAGAUUGAAUGCGCCAAAGACAUUCAAAUGAGCAUUAUUAAUAGUAAUCCCAUGUGUGUUACAAUGCUUCCAAAAUCAAUAACUGCUUCAAUGAACAAGAUUUUCCUCGUGCAGCAAGGAGCGGACCAAGAUCAGAAAGAAAUUACGAAAACCCCCAGUACGGAGCUGUUAGUAAGAUGUCCUCGAGUUGGUCGUUUGCCGACCUUGGGAGGGUCAGUUAAUUAAAACAAAAAGGGGGAGAUGUGGGUUGUCUGAAUUUAGAGUUGAUGAGUUAGUUUUCUGUAUUUGGAGUUAAUAGGCUAGUUUGCUGUAUGAAUAAAGUUAAGUGUUGCGGUAGUUGUGAGGCGACUUGGAGGCGGGGAGAGCUUGUGGUCGGUGGGGGUGCCUGCGCCCUGGAGCCCUCGAGGGGGGGACAGCUUGUGACUACGAGAUAACGAUCUUGUUACCAUGCGAACACUGCCUGACUAAGAUUCCCGCCUUAGCUAGCUUAAUGUCUGUUAAAGUGAUUAGCCAAUCAGCAUGAAACAUGUGUGCCUUAGACUAUAUAAAUGUAUGUUUGCCAUACAAUAAAGCGGACACCUUGCUUGCA